GGAGGGUACAGCUCAGUGGUAGAGUGUGUGCUUGGCACGCGUGAGGUCCUGGGUUCAGUCCCCAGUCCUUCUG
rnacentral:tRNA from 1 species